CUACGGGCCGCAGCAGUGGGGAAUAUUGCACAAUGGGCGCAAGCCUGAUGCAGCCAUGCCGCGUGUAUGAAGAAGGCCUUCGGGUUGUAAAGUACUUUCAGCGGGGAGGAAGGGAGUAAAGUUAAUACCUUUGCUCAUUGACGUUACCCGCAGAAGAAGCACCGGCUAACUCCGUGCCAGCAGCCGCGGUAAUACGGAGGGUGCAAGCGUUAAUCGGAAUUACGGGGCGUAAAGCGCACGCAGGCGGUUUGUUAAGUCAGAUGUGAAAUCCCCGGGCUCAACCUGGGAACUGCAUCUGAUACUGGCAAGCUUGAGUCUCGUAGAGGGGGGUAGAAUUCCAGGUGUAGCGGUGAAAUGCGUAGAGAUCUGGAGGAAUACCGGUGGCGAAGGCGGCCCCCUGGACGAAGACUGACGCUCAGGUGCGAAAGCAUGGGGAGCAAACAGGAUUAGAUACCCCAGUAGUC
rnacentral:rRNA from 1 species